GGAUCCGUGGCUUAGCCAGGAUAAAGCUUUUGCAUGGUUAGAGCUUCUAGAAAGAGCGGCGGCCUUCUAAGUCGCAGGUCGGGGGUUCAAAUCCCCUCGGAUCCGCCA
rnacentral:tRNA from 1 species